UCCGAGGCCGGCUCGCGGGACGUUUCGCUUAGCACGGCCCGGUCACCGGUCCCGAGGCUGCCCGGGUGACUUCGCCGCGUCAGCGGCCUCCGCCCCGCCCCCGGCUCCUCAUUGGCCGGCACGCGCCCCACGUGACCACCGGCACCUCACGUUUCUGAAGUGUGUUUACUACGCCGGCCCAGACCCCGGCGUGAGCGGCGGUGCCGGGCGCUUCUGGACCGGUUGAGGCCGCUGGGCGCUCGGGACCUCAGUGCUCGCCGGGGAGCCAGGCUCGCCGCCUCGGCGGGUGUCCUCCACCUCCAAGGAUGAUCGCAGGGGGCUGCAGGCCUCGGGGGGAGGGGCAGGAGGCGGAGCCCAGCUCCCCCGGUUGGGGGGGGGGCGCUGGGAGCGGCUUCCAUUGGUUGAGGCUCGCCGAGACCCGGAUGAGCACGGGGCUGCGGGGAGCUCGCGAGUGCGCGCUCUGCUAGGCUCGGGCGCGCGGGCGCUCUGGCGGUGUGAUCGAGGGGACCGGGGCACAAGAGCGCGCCCAGGGUUCUUCCCCAACAGUGUGAGGACGGUCUGGGGCCAGUGCGGUGUACCCCAGUACACCGAGAGUUCAUGAGUCGUACAGGAGGAGAGCCACCGCAGUCCGGCGUGAAUCGGAGUCCCCUGCUCGGGAAAGAGCGGACACCACCCCCUUUAGCCUUUUCUUCUGUUUGGCGCGGGUGCUUUUGCACUAGCUCCGAAGAAGACCGGUCCAGUACCAGCUAAUUCAGCACUUCCCGGCGUUUCAUAAUACUGAUCAGCUCCAGAUUACCUUGAUAAACAUUGGGUAAUCUGAGGAUAGAAAGGAUUUAGGCCAAUUUUCAUCGGAAAUCAGGAGACCAAGUCCCAGGAAGAACUGCCAUUUGAGACUUUUGUAGUCCCACCCAAACCGCCUGUGUGGAACACCACGGGGCAGAGGAGGCCCAGGAGGCCCAGACCCCCGCGGGCUCCAGAGAACAGGCAGACUUUUCAUCUUUAUUGUUACACUCGCGGUUUACUUCAUGUGUUUCACUUGCCGGCACAUAUGCAUGCCCAGCGUCCCAGGAGCUGAGAAGAGGACUUUGGGUCCCCGGGAACUGGAGUUCCAGAUGAUCGCGGGUUGCUGUACGGGUUCCGAGCAUUGAACCUAGGGUCUUCUGCAUCUGCUCUUUAUCCCUGAGCCAUCUCAGCAGCCCCUUAUUUUGUUUUCUGAGAGAGGAUCUCAUAUACUCCAGGCUGCCUUCAACUCUCUAUGUAAUGCAUGAAUGGCUUUAAACUCCCGAUCCUCCUGCCUUCCCCUCAGAGCUCUGGGAUGGCAGGUGUGAGCCUCCAUGCCCAGGUUACUUGGUGGUGAUGGUUAAACCUAGGGUUUCGUGCAUGCCGGGUAAGAACUCUGUCAUCUCGGCUACAUCCCAGCCCGCAGCUUGAUUGGUCUCCAUGUCUGCGCUUCCUCAGAGGGGAGUGAAAAUCGGCUGAAAAAGAAAAACAGCUACUUAAAGAGUUAUAACAAGGAAAUGGUAGGACGCAAAAGGUCGUGAGGGAUUGUGAUGAGCAGACAGACGAGGACACAGGUAUUCAGCAAAUGCCAGCUUGGAGAGAUUAUAGCUUGGGGGUCAUACAGGAUUAUCUCUAAACCAGACUGCAGCCUAGACAACCUUCCUCAAGAUGUGAUGUCCUUAAAUAUCAAGGAAAUGGAGUAGGCCGAGAUGUUCAUUGCCAGAUAAAUCUGUAAACAGAAAAAGGGUUUUAUUUAACUGUAAAAAAUGGAAUUAUGAAAAUUCAGAAAAUUGAUGGAUAUGGAUAUUAUUAUAUUAAGUGAGAUGACUCAGGCUCAGAGAGAGAGAGAGAGAGAGAGAGAGAGAGAGAGAGAGAGAGAGAAGAAAAGAAAGGAGGAGAGAAGGUAAGAGGAAGGGGAGAUUCUCAAGUGGCAUUUUGGUAUAAUACUCCUGUCCUCUCUGUCACAGCAGGAUCACCCCAAGUUCAAAGCUAGCCUGGGCUACAUAAGGAGUUUCAGGUCAGCUUGCCCUGCAGUAUGAGACCCUUUUUCAAAAAAAAAAAAAAGAAAGAAAGAAAGAAAAAAGAAAAGAAAAUCUUGAAGCAACUGAAAAGACCUAGAAUAAACCAAUUUUGAACAGUAAGCAGCCUGAGACUUUUAGGACAGACAUGAAGCUCAGCUAUAGAAAGUGACCCCAGCUGCUCCUAGCAUUCAUUAUAACCAAUGUUAUACUAACUAACUUAUACUACCUUCUAUUUUAAACAGGGUCUCCUGUAGUCCAGGCUGGCCUCAAAGUUACUGUGUAACUAAGGAGAGCCUUAACUCCUGAUUCUUGUGCCUUCAUUCCUUAGUGCUGAUCUAAAAUAAGAUAAUAUCUUGAAUACUUUUGUCUAGGGUUAGCUCCAGACGUCUGUAAGUCAGGGUCAUGUGAGGAUGGAAGAGAUUUGGGAUUAUAAACAUGCCCUACUGUGCCUGGUCUGUGUUACAUGUUUGUCUUGGUUCCUGUGUCUCUUUCAUUUAGAUUAAACCCUGCAUUUAUUAAAUGGGUGAAUAAAUAUCCCCAAUACUAUUAAUAAUA